GAUGAACGCUGGCGGCGUGCCUAAUACAUGCAAGUCGAACGAAGAUCUAGCUUGCUAGAUCUUAGUGGCGAACGGGUGAGUAAUACAUAAAUAAUCUGCCCAUAUGACUGGGAUAACUAUUGGAAACGAUAGCUAAUACCGGAUAGGUUGAUCGGAAGCAUCUCUGAUGAAUUAAAGUAGGAUUUCUACACAAAUGGAUGAGUUUAUGGCGCAUUAGUUAGUGGGUGGGGUAACGGCCUACGAAGACGAUGAUGAGUAGCCGACCUUAGAGGGUGACCGGCCACACUGGGACUGAGACACGGCCCAUACUCCUACGGGAGGCAGCAGUAGGGAAUUUUCGGCAAUGGGCGCAAGCCUGACCGAGCAACGCCGCGUGAGUGAUUAAGGCCUUCGGGUUGUAAAGCUCUGUUGUAAGGGAAGAACAUUCAGGAUAGGAAAUGAUCUUGAACUGACGGUACCUUACCAGAAAGCCACGGCUAACUACGUGCCAGCAGCCGCCGUAA
rnacentral:rRNA from 1 species